rnacentral:rRNA from 1 species
UGGUGGAGUGAUUUGUCUGGUUAAUUCCGUUAACGAACGAGACCUCGACCUGCUAACUAGUCGGGGCUACUAUUAUAUGGUAACUUUGUUUACUUCUUAGAGGGACUAUCGGUUUCUAUCCGAAGGAAGAUCGAGGCAAUAACA